CCCCUUCGGAGGCCUCGGACCAGGGAGUCAAUUUGGCUGGAGAGGUGAAAGAGAUUCGGUGUGAACUGUUGAACCUGUCGGCAAUGCUUGUGAGUAGUUAUAACCUAUACUAUGUGUCAAAAUGUCAAAUUGAUUGAUUUAUGACAUGUGAUUUAUGACCCUCCUGUCAACCUUGAUUGACAGGUAUGUGUGGCGUGUGAUUUAUGACAGUCCGGACAUGUUAAAAAACAUGUUUGGACAUGUUCUUCCUGGAGUGUAUUGACCAGUCGUCGGAUGUCAAUGAUUGUUUAUGGUGUGUUUAUGUUAAUGAUUUUAAGUGUGAGCCCUGAUUUUCACAGUUUAUCCCCACCAAUGUGGUGUUUAAAAACAGUCAGUCACACCGGUCAGUAUCAAACCAUACAGUUGUGUUAGCGUCUGUGAGGUAUAAGUGAAUCUUCGUUCUCAAAUAAUUUUUUUCCGGCAAGUUUUGUUAUUUUGAAACGUAAUCGUACUUCAAGAGAAGAUGGCUGUCUAUCUUAACAGUAAGUGUGUUUUAUUAUCUCGUAUUAUUAUUAUUAAGAACAUUUAUUUAUAAGUGAGUCACGGCUCUGAUACAAUGCUUAAACAGGAUCCCUAUCGUUCCAGGUGCUGUGGAUGAUGUGAACUUUUCUGACAUUGUUGAGGAAAUUCAAUUCCUGAACCAAGCGAGUGCAGGGCCGAAUCCGGAGCAUAGUUCAACAUCAGAGCGUGCGUCUCCGCGAGACAGGGCGAACAUUCAGCCGCUUAAAGAUUUAUCAAACCUUGUAAACAAGAUCGGUGCGUCUGGAAGUGAAAAUCACCAGGAGAGGGCUAGAGGCCGUGGAGUUGCAACAAACCCGAAAAGACUCAAAUGUAAAACAGUUACGAUCGCCCAAGUGCAUGCUCCGGUUGAUGGGGAUGUGAGAUCUUGAUUUCAUACCACAGACACCAGGACGGAAACGGUCAAGACAUUCGCUCAGAGCAUCAGCUGAGUUGGUUGUGGAUGACCAUGUGGUACCCGAUGUAAAUGAUGUUCGGAGCUGGGGUGAUGAACUGAUAGAAUCGUGGGACACCUGUGCAUUUUCCCAGGUACCUAAAGAAAAACGAACUCGUGGUGUCUGUGGCAGAUUCCGACCCUGAGGCUCUUCCUUCAAAUCAGGAGGCUUACAGACGGGGAUCACAUCCUGUUAUAGACAAUAAACACAUAAUCGGACUGAUACAGGACGGUUUCAAGACCAUUGAGGGACGUUUUAACGCCAUUGAGAGGCGCUUUAACAUCGUUGAGGAGCGCUUGGAUACCUUUGAGAAGAAGCAGGAUUAUUAUUAUAAACAGUCCGUGACGGCCACACUACAACAACAAGGUAUCUGGAUUAAACAAGUGAUAGUGAUGCAGCGUUUGCAUGGUGGGGUGAGCCAACGAGCAGCCCGCGAUCAAAACCUGACAACGGACUUGUUAAAGCAGGUCGUACUCAUGCUUAAAAAGAAACUCAGGAGAGUUGUAAAAAAGUAAAUUUUUAACUGUGUAUGUUUUUAUAUCAUCAGUUGUUUCAACAUUUAUUCCCAAUGUAUGUUGUUUUAGGUUGGUUGUAAUAGUUGAUGUUUCAGUGCUGUUUUUGUUUUUACUGUAUGGGGCUAGUUUUAUUUCCUUAGUUGUUUCCUUAGUUAUUUUAA